AACGAACGCUGGCGGCAUGCCUAACACAUGCAAGUCGAACGAGACCUUCGGGUCUAGUGGCGCACGGGUGCGUAACGCGUGGGAACCUGCCCUUAGGGUCGGAAUAACUCCCCGAAAGGGGUGCUAAUACCGGAUAAUGUCGGCGGACCAAAGAUUUAUCGCCUUUGGAUGGGCCCGCGUUGGAUUAGCUAGUUGGUAGGGUAAAAGCCUACCAAGGCGACGAUCCAUAGCUGGUCUGAGAGGAUGAUCAGCCACACUGGGACUGAGACACGGCCCAGACUCCUACGGGAGGCAGCAGUGGGGAAUAUUGGACAAUGGGCGACAGCCUGAUCCAGCAAUGCCGCGUGAGUGAUGAAGGCCUUAGGGUUGUCAAGCUCUUUUACCCGGGAUGAUAAUGACAGUACCGGGAGAAUAAGCUCCGGCUAACUCCGUG
rnacentral:rRNA from 1 species